AUAUAAUUGUCUUAAUUUUUUCUUUAUUAUUUCUACCUUAUCUAUUGAAAAUAUAGUUAUUUCUUUUUUAUUUAUCAAAAAUACUACUAGUUCUAUUGUGUCUUAUGUACUUUUUAUAUUUUCUAACUUUUGUGUAAUUUUUUUACUUCCUUUUAUCCAAUCAGUUUUCUUUCUUAUUUUAUUAAUAACUCUUUUUACUCUUACUUUUUGUUUACAUGGUGUUGU
rnacentral:lncRNA from 1 species